rnacentral:tRNA from 1 species
GCGGGUAUGAUGUAAUGGUAGCCUGUCAGCUUCCCAAGCUGAACGCGGGGGUUCGAUUCCCCCUACCCGCUCCA